AUUGAACGCUGGCGGCAGGCUUAACACAUGCAAGUCGAGCGAGCGGCGGACGGGUGAGUAAUGUCUGGGAAACUGCCUGAUGGAGGGGGAUAACUACUGGAAACGGUAGCUAAUACCGCAUACCAUCAGAUGUGCCCAGAUGGGAUUAGCUAGUAGGUGGGGUAAUGGCUCACCAAGGCGACGAUCUCUAGCUGGUUUGAGAGGAUGAUCAGCCACACUGGGACUGAGACACGGCCCAGACUCCUACGGGAGGCAGCAGUGGGGAAUAUUGGACAAUGGGCGAAAGCCUGAUCCAGCAAUACCGCGUGUGUGAAGAAGGCCCUAGGGUUGUAAAGUACUUUCAGCGGGGAGGCGUUACCCGCAGAAGAAGCACCGGCUAACUCCGUGCCAGCAGCCGCGGUAAUAC
rnacentral:rRNA from 1 species